GUAUUAUAUCAAUUUGUAUUUAAACUAAGAAUAUAAGGGUAGAGCUUUAUAGUUCAAUAAUAUUUAUAGUAUAAAUUAGUAAAUAUUUAUUUUAAUAAUUAGGUUUUUUAGUGGCCAUAUUUUUAAAGUGUUUAAACUAAUAUAAGUAGUUAAAUUAUUUAUUAAAUUUUAUUUUUUUAGCAAAAUAAUUUUUUGAAUAAGAGUGGAUUAGUAAUAAUGAGAAUAUUAGUAGAAUAAAUUAUGGGGUGAUAAUAUAUGUAUUAAAUAAUAUAGUUUAAUUAAAAUAUAAAAAAGUAGAGGAACUCGGCAAAUAAAGUUCUUGCCUGUUUAACAAAAACAUGUCUAUAUGGAGUUAUAUAAAGUCUAACCUGCCCGUUGAAAAUAAAUGAAAGGCCGCGGUAUAUUGACUGUGCAAAGGUAGCAUAAUUAGUAGUUUUUUAAUUGAAGGCUUGUAUGAAGGGUUGGACAAAGGAUAAGCUGUCUUUAUUUUUGUUUUUGAAUUUGUCAUUUAAGUGAAAAGACUUAAAUAAUUUUAAGGGACGAUAAGACCCUAUAAAUCUUUAUAUUAAUAUGAUUUUCAUUUUAAUUUUUAAUGUUUGUAAAAUUGAAAAUAUAGUAUAUUGUAUUGGGGUGAUAAGAAUAAUAAAAUAAACUGUUCUAAAAUUGGGACAAAGAUAUUUGAAUUAAUAAUAGAUCCUUUAUAGAGAUUGAAAGUUUAAGUUACUUUAGGGAUAACAGCGUUAUUUUUUUUGAGAGUUCUAAUCGAAAAAAAAGUUUGCGACCUCGAUGUUGAAUUAAAAUUUCUUUAUGGUGUAGCCGUUAUAAUAGAGAGUCUGUUCGACUUUUAAAAUUUU
rnacentral:rRNA from 1 species